GACGAACGCUGGCGGCGUGCCUAAUACAUGCAAGUAGAACGCUGAAGGAGGAGCUUGCUUCUCUGGAUGAGUUGCGAACGGGUGAGUAACGCGUAGGUAACCUGCCUGGUAGCGGGGGAUAACUAUUGGAAACGAUAGCUAAUACCGCAUAAUAGUAGAUGUUGCAUGACAUUUGCUUAAAAGGUGCAAUUGCACCACUACCAGAUGGACCUGCGUUGUAUUAGCUAGUUGGUGGGGUAACGGCUCACCAAGGCGACGAUACAUAGCCGACCUGAGAGGGUGAUCGGCCACACUGGGACUGAGACACGGCCCAGACUCCUACGGGAGGCAGCAGUAGGGAAUCUUCGGCAAUGGACGGAAGUCUGACCGAGCAACGCCGCGUGAGGGAAGAAGGUUUUCGGAUCGUAAAGCUCUGUUGUAAGAGAAGAACGAGUGUGAGAGUGGAAAGUUCACACUGUGACGGUAUCUUACCAGAAAGGGACGGCUAACUACGUG
rnacentral:rRNA from 1 species